CCAUUGCUGUAUUUUGUAAGAUGCAGGACUCAUUAGGUGCAACUAAUGGGAAGAGAGUGGCAAUAACAGGUCUGUGAUGCCCUUAGAUGUUCUGGGCCGCACGCGCGCUACACUGACAGAGGCAGCAAGAGGGAAGGUUUACCGAAGGGUAUGCCUAAUCUGUAAGCUCUGUCGUGAUGGGGAUAGACCAUUGUAAUUAUUGGUCUUUAACGAGGAAUUCCUAGUAAAUGCAAGUCAUUAGCUUGCGUUGAUUAUGUCCCUGCCCUUUGUACACACCGCCCGUCGCUACUACCGAUUGAGUGUGUUGAUGAAGUGCAGAGAAUUGAGCAAUUGGUGAACUGCAAUGAAUUGAUACAUUUAGAGGAAGUAAAAGUCG
rnacentral:rRNA from 1 species